rnacentral:rRNA from 1 species
UAGGAUCUCCACAUGGACGAAAGUCUGAUGGAGCAACGCCGCGUGAGUGAAGAAGGGUUUCGGCUCGUAAAGCUCUGUUGGUAGUGAAGAAAGAUAGAGGUAGUAACUGGCCUUUAUUUGACGGUAAUUACUUAGAAAGUCACGGCUAACUACGUGCC